rnacentral:rRNA from 1 species
AUGCGGUCGAAUGACGACCAAAAUGCAGUCAAGGGUGUUAUCGAGAGGGAGAAGGUGGUGAAGAAGAUGAAGCUUUGCACAGUGGUUGUGGUACUAUGGUAUAUCUAUUUAAAAUCUCUAGAAUGUGGACAAGAUGCCAAAUGCAGCUGGUCGGAGUUCGGCCAUGCUAGCCUCAUCUAUCGGCUGCUCGUCAAAUGGCUAACCCUAUGCAGUACGCUAUCCAUAGCUGGAUCUGUCAUUUUAGUUUAUCAAGUUGUGGAUCGAGGCGAACGCUACACCCACCUUUGGUAUACGAUCGUUGGCCCAGUUGAAAAAAAAAAUAAAGGUAGCCUAUCCUCUCGUUGCUUUCGCUCGCCUUUCUCUCGAGCGCUCUCUCUCUCUCUCUCUCUCUCGAUCCUCUCUCCACCUCUCGGCCGCCGGCCUUCCGGCCAUUGUCGGCGGUCUCCGGCUCCGCCCAACACUCCCUCGUGUUAUCCUUCAUCCGACCUAUCUGCUCCGCCAACUCGAUUCGACGCUCGCCUCCUUCUCUUGCGCUCGUGGCUAACCCUAGCCGCCACUAUCGCCGGCGCACGGUGCCGUCUUGGACGCCGGCGCGACUCCGACGCCUCCUUGCACUCCUCCUCGAUGCCUCCUGCCCGCUCUCCCGUGUCACCGAGGCCGUCAAGCGCGAGGGCAUGCACUCCCGGUGGCAGCGAUGAUUUCCGAUCUGCGCCAUCUUCAAGGGCGCGGAGCAACGGAGGUCGGCUCCUUCUUCUCCCCGGUCACGCGUCGGGAGAGGAGUCAGCCCCCUUGUGUUUCUGCGCCAAGGCCGGCAAGGAGGUCUCCAGCAUGCUCGAGGCCGCCGCCCCCGAGCUCAAAGGUCCGGCCCUGAUCGCCUUCACCCAACUUUUCUAUCUCCUAGAACUCGUUGAAGAUAAUCCAUGCCACCGCGUGGCUUCGAUCUCCAUCAUCUGCGUCGUUCUCGUCCUAUUGGAGCGAGCUGGGACCAAGCUCGAACAGUUUGUCGUGGAAAGAGAAGAGAAGUCACUCAAUCUGGAUGUGCGAGCCAUUAUAAGUGUAGCUGUUUUCAUUGGCCGAAGUACCAUCAUGCCUGAUAUGCAUGGCUCUUGGCCACUGCAGGAUACGAAUGUUGACUGGGAGUUCGGGGUUCUCUCUCCAAAGGAGAUCACAGCUCCUUCGCAUGAUGUAGAGUUUGGAAGCAAAUCAAAACCAUCCAUAGUAAAAAUCGUAGAGAUCAAGUCAAAACUAGAUUCUGAUGAAAUGUCUGGCGCUGCUAUAAAUCUUGAGGAACACUAUGACAAGGAAAGCAUUAACAUUGAUGCUUCCAGUGAUUCAUCCCUGGAGCGGUAUGAUCUGUCAGAUGAUGAUACUGAUUUGCAGAAGAAUUUCACACAUCUAAGUGAUCUUGCAGCUGCACUGCGAAAACCUGACGAUCUAGAUGGUGCCAUAGAUAAAAUUCGACAAGAGAAGAAAUGUGUGCAGCAGAGGAACCAAGAUGCCAAAGGUUCAAAGCGGUGUUGUGCUGAAAAAACCAGGACAAUCUUAUAUGUGAUCCAGGGACCUCCUGGUCUAAAUGGAUUCCUAAUGCAUCAGAUAAUCCAAGCGGUGUUCAUAAGGAAGAGGCUCUGUCGAGUUGCGGCAGUCUUCUCGUUAGCACGAGAACGACCACAAAUAACGUUUGAGGCAAAUUCCUUCACCUGCCCUGCUGAUGGGAAAUUCUGCAAUGAUGCCCAGCGGCACGCCACUCUCAAGCUAGAGGUCAAGCUUAGGAACUGUAGGUCCUGCUUCUUCAUCCUGACGGACACCAUUCGUUACUCCCGGGGGAUCUCCUCGAUCGCGCUCGACAGGGCCGGCGCUCUGCCCCUGGCGGUGAUAACGAGUGAUCCCCAGAAAGUGGAAAUCCGCCCGCUUCCAACUGAUGAUAAAAUUCUUGCAAUUGAGUAUCAAAUUGAUGGUAGUAAGCUCCAAGAAGAAGAGGUGCAUUGUGCUCAUCAGCCUGAGAAAAGUGUAACAUCCAACCACAAUCUAGAAAAUAGGCAUACAAAUUCGAAGAGGAAACCGAAAGAUGAAGAUGCAACAAUACUUGAGAGCUCAAGUACCCAAUCCAACCCAAGAAGAAGACUCAAGGGAGGACUGAUCUAUAUGUAG